rnacentral:tRNA from 2 species
GGUGUAGCGCAGCUGGUAGCGCGCCUGCUUUGGGAGCAGGAUGUCGGGGGUUCAAGUCCCUUCAC